AUUUUUUGUAUUUUUAGUAGAGACGGGGUUUCACCAUGUUGGCCAGGAUGGUCUCGAUCUCUUGACCUCGUGAUCCGCCUGCCUCGGCCUCCCAAAGUCCUGGGAUUACAGGCAUGAGCCACCGCGCCUGGCCGAGUUAAAGUAACUUUCCAAAGAUGCAUGAUUUCCAUGUAAAAAGAAGCGAAUAAUGAUGGGACCACUAUGAAGAAAGCUUCUGAGGACAAAGGCAGCUGGGGAGAUCCCAAGAGGAGACCAAAUAAGGAAAAAUGCAGUUGGCUAGAGAAAUCGGUGAGAAUCAAGACUCUAUGGGUUGAAACCUGGCUCUACUUACUGGCUAUAUAAACUUCAAGCAACUUGUUUAA